GAUGAAGAACGUAGCGAAAUGCGAUAACUAGUGUGAAUUGCAGAAUUCCGUGAAUCAUCGAGUCUUUGAACGCACAUUGCGCCCCCUGGUAUUUCGGGGGGCAUGCCUGUCCGAGCGUCAUUGCUGCCCAUCAAGCACGGCUUGUGUGUUGGGUCGUCGUCCCCUCUCCGGGGGGGACGGGCCCCAAAGGCAGCGGCGGCACCGCGUCCGAUCCUCGAGCGUAUGGGGCUUUGUCACCCGCUCUGUAGGCCCGGCCGGCGCUUGCCGAACGCAAAUCAAUCUUUUUCCAGGUUGACCUCGGAUCAGGUAGGGAUACCCGCUGAACUUAAGCAUAUCAAUAAGCGGAGGA
rnacentral:misc_RNA from 1 species